CAUCGACGUUCUCUGGGGAGGACGAGUGUAUGGCGAUGAAAUCUGUGAAGCAAAUCCCCAGCUGCCACAUUUAUGGUAAUACUUAUCCCCAUUUGCCUCUCCUGUCUGUCAAUACCAUCACAAAUAAUCAUCCCCUGGAACAGCAAUCACUCAGUCAACGUACAGAGUCCCAGGUAUGCCGAUGGUGGCAGUGUCCGUCCGCUCUCGCCUCCGUCGGUCAGUGCAUGUCGUUCCAAAACAAGCUGCCUCGGGCAACGGCAGCAGAAGUGCGACCUGGGAGACGACCGAGUCGGAAGGUUCAUACGAGGAGCAUCCGGCGUGGAACAACCGUCGACUCUCGCUCUGUUACUGCCCACGGUGGCUUUUGGGACGACACAUUCCGUGCGUUCUCUACAGAUAUGGUCAAAAUUUGCAAAUAGUGUGAGGUGAUUAUGGCGCCGUGACCCUCUCAAGCCGUAGCAAGUGAAAUGUGUUAUGUGGUCCGGCCAGUGCACACACACACACACACACUCGGGCGAUCGCGGACGAGGGAGGCUACCCAACACCCCGGACGACACUCGCUAAACCGAGGCGACGACAGUUAUCGUUGGUGCAGAGGUCGGCCUCGUCGUCUGCUCGUAAGGCUACGGGUCAGAGUCGACAGAUACAGCGAGAGACACGAGCGGAGACAGAUUGUGCAGCUGGUGUUUAACGGCCAUUUGGACAAAGAUACCUCUCGAUACUGUAUAUGUUUGUGAACUUGUAGAAGAUCUCUGUGAUUAUUGUAUUAUGACUUGUGUGUGAUGCAUGUGUCAUUCCUGUAGAGUUACAGUGUUGUAAAUAUUAUGUUAAUUUGUAUAGCUCUAAGAUUUAUCAAGGUUUUUUUUUUUUUAGUUUUACAGUAGAGUAAUUGUAAUGAAAGUAAUAUUGUUCCUCCAUGCUGACAAAGUGAAGAUGGAGGACGAUUGUGCAAGUUGAUACUUAUCGACAAUGAAUUUAUCCAAGAAGUCGUCUAGAUUUUGGCGAGAAAAUUAGCACUGUUGACACGUUGCAAAUACAUUGUAGCAUUUUGAAUUUCAUCGGAUUGGGAACCGUGGCAUUGACGCGAUUUUUGCGGGAGAAAAUGGUUUGCAAAAGUUGUAUUAAUGAUUGGAUAGGCGAAACACUUGAAAUGAUAGGCAGCAAGUUUUUUGUACUAUUUUACCGUGGACUAAAACUGCAUGGCAAAGCGAAAAGCACUCCGGGGGUCGCCACUACCGUAAUCGUCAGACGAAGUUGUGGGAUAUUUCUGUAACGUAUAUAAUUGUGAGUUACGGGGAGCGGAGGUGCGGAUAUCUGCGUAACUCAAAGAUUACAUACGAUCGUUUACUUUAUUGACGUUAUACCGUAGAGUGAAGUUUAUUGUGUACUUUGUUGGUUAGUACAGUAUAGUGCAUGUAAUGUUAUGUCGUUUGUAAGAGACUACGCAAUUUGGGUAAUGCGCGUACUGUCUCCUACAAUACCAGGAAUACUUACCUAACUCUAAAACCACCACCACUAUGAGGUUUGCCAGCAGAAACACUAAAGGGCGUUUUUCCCAGCCGAGAAAAGAUGCUCCGCCCCCUCAGCGAGAGUUACCGGCGAUUGGCCUUUGCAGAUCCGUCCAAUUUUAUCCAGAAUCAAUGACAUAUUUGUAAAUUGGUUUAUUAAUAACGGUUGGAAUGAUCAUUUCUGCCGAGAAAGAUAUUUAUGUAAAUUCUAUAAAGAUGCUUACAUUCAUUAUUUCAGAAAGGAGCACGUAGCAAGUUUACGAGAAAUCCCGUACGCGAAUUAACUGUUAGUGCGAUAGGAAGUCGACGUUUUGGGAGGGUGCAUUUAAUAUAUACUGUACUUAUUUUGACCCACAAUAAGGCUUACUAUGACAAAUUACGUAUCAGUAAUACUACAAAAUGUAAAGAGAACAUUUUAAAAGAUGAGAAUCACAUUGAAAUUUUACACAACCGAGAACAAGUUCACAUUUUCCCGCCUCUGCCGACGGGACAAAGUCCGUCACGCUCGUCUACUAAUUUUCGGGGGCCGUGUAAUAUUUCAAUGCGAUUCCGAUGUUUUAAAAUGUUAGUUUUUGCAUAAUGUAGUUUUACCGAUACGUAAUUUGUUUCGGUACGACUCGCUGCGGGUAAAGAUAAGUACACGUUAAAUGCAUGCUCCGAAAGUACAAAUUUGUUAGCAGAGUUUUAAGAGUUAAUUCACGUAUGUUUGAAAUAACGAAUGUAAGUACAGUAAUACCCCGCUUAACGUGGUUUCACUUUCCGCGAUUUCUCAUUUACGCGGUACCUUGCCAGAAAUGGACUUUCACUUUCCGCGGUGCAU
rnacentral:misc_RNA from 1 species